rnacentral:misc_RNA from 1 species
CUCUCUCUCUGUCUCUCUCUCUCAGCCAUAUAUUUUAUAGUAGCACAAAUCAACUAGGAUCUCAUCAUGGACCCCUCCGGCUUCGCCACCGGCGGGAAUCUACCUCCACCGCCAGGAAGGUCAAAGCCACAGCAGCCACCACCUCUACAACCGUCAAGUUCACAAUCACCAACAAAAAAACAGAACCAAAUCCAAGGCCUUCGCCCUCCAGCACUUAAACUCCAUCAAGUCUCUCACAAAAUCAAGAAACCACCACGUCCUCCAGCGCAGCAGCAACCAGUGAUCAUCUACGCAGUGUCCCCGAAAAUCAUCCACACCGAGGUUUCCGAGUUCAUGGCCGUGGUCCAGCGCCUAACGGGACUCUCAUCUGGGGACUUCUCAGGCGACGGAGAAGUAUCACCAGAAGCAAGAUUAGCUGCAACAGAGAAGGCAAGUCCGAGAGAGAGAAGCAGUACAAGCAUUGAAGAAAGAAAUGAUCUGAUGGGUAUGUUAGAGGGGGUAGAGAUAGGUCAGAUUCCAGGGAUCCUAUCACCGGCACCGGCGAUGUUAUCUCCGGUGCCUUCCGGGUUUUUCUCGCCGGAAACAGACCCAAAAUUCUUUUAUGAUAUGAGCAGUCCAUAUGGAAUCAACAGUUUUAUAUAUAGUCCUUCAGGUUUGUUAUCAGCUCCUAUGUUUUCUCCAUUACCUUCACCAGAUAUCUUCAACCUGUUCAUGGAUCAUGAGGAGGAGAAGAGG